rnacentral:tRNA from 1 species
CGGGGUAUAGCGCAGUCUGGUAGCGCGCCUGCUUUGGGAGCAGGAUGUCGGGAGUUCGAAUCUCUCNACCCCGACCA